GGAAAUGUACUUCAUGGACAACAUUACAGAGCUGAGAGGGGAAAAGACGAGAGAGAAGUAGUCUCCAGCCAGUAGGCUACUGAAUUUACCAAGAGCUGUGCUGAAUUCAACCACGUGGACACACUGUCACAGUUUGGUGACUGCCGUGCCCUGAUCCCAGUGUCUCUCCAGCUGCACCUCAUCCCCUCCCGUGGACUCCAUCUCAGUAUGAUCAGCAGUCUGAGCAAGUCUGCACCCUGCUGGUUUCACUUUAGCUUCCCCCUGUCCCUUUAAACACUUCCUUCUCCUGUUACCAUAAAGCUGCUAGGAGAGCCUCACUGUAAAAGUCA